UUGGUUCGUACUGCAUGCGUUUUGCGUAUCUGUUCGCAUCGGCGUCCUGGAUGAGAUCUGGAAGGCGACACGAUGGGCAGGUGGGAAAGCGGCUCGACUUUGCAAAAAGGCGAAACUUCCCGGGCCCCGCCAGUGCGAGCUCCGCCUGUGAGAGAGGACUGGGCGCGACCUUUAGCAGGCAGCGGCGUUUUCUGGCAGCCGCGUGUUCAGCCGCUUGGAUGGGGAAGAUGGGACACCUGCUCUGAAAAGGUUACAGCACGUUACCUUCUGGCUUUCCAUAUCUGAAGUUCCUUGAGACAUCAUCUUUCUUCCUUUGAGGUGUGGCCCUUCAGUAUGGGACCCAAAAAUACCUGAAUUACUUCAGCCUGAGAAGCGGUAUGUUCUGAAAAGGUGUAGAGACUCUAAACCACAAGAGAAUUCUGGGACUGGGAACAGCCAUUAACGCUUGAAAUGAAUGGACAAACGAUGCGUGGAUCAAGAACUGGAGCUGGCAUGAGCUGAUCAGGGAACUGGUGCCAUGUGAUUAAAAAAUGCAGUAUGGCAGAAAAAAAGCCCCAAGAAAACAUCAGUCCUGGAAGUGCACAAGAGGAGUUGGCCCCCACCGUGGGGUGGAUUCCAUCCAUAUAUCUUGGGUUUUUUUGGUAAAAUGUGAAAAUAGUAAACAGUAAACAACCGGUCCCCUUCCACACAGGCACAUGUGAGAUCACUUUCCUAUACACACCUACAUGUUGCCACAUCACCAUACUAUUCCAGUGUUUCUUUUUUCAUUAGGACUUAAGAGUUUCUUUUCUGUUCAGAGAUGCUCAUGUUUUCUUUUGUUUGCAAGAAUGCACAGAAACCCUGUAUGCAGUUUGCAAGCAGCUUUGUGUCCCCUUGGGGGAGAAAGACAAGCUAUAAAUACUUAAAUAAGGUGCAGACAUGUAGCUUUGAAGCCCUUCACUGUCUGCUCCCCAGAUACUCAAAGGAGCAUCUCCACCCAAAUCCACCUCCUUGAUCUUUACGAUCAGACACCGAGAAUCUUUGUUCAGCUUUUGACCAUUGGGGCGCUGCCUCCUGCACUCUGGUGGCAUUCUCUGUAAUGGCCUCCAAGCUAUGGAACUGACGGCCUCCUUUGAGAUCUUGGACCUUUUAAGCAGGCUCUGGAGCAGGGGUGGCCAAACUUGCUUAAUGUAAGAGCUACAUAGAAUAAACGUCAGAUGUUUGAGAGCCGCAGGAUAUGAUGCAUUGAAGUGACUUCAGAUGAAGAGGUCAGUUUGUGGAAGUGUCCUGAAAGUGACAUCACAGGAAGGGGUGGAGUUUUGGUGCAAUAUGCUGGAAGUGACAUCAGAAGGGGUCGAGCUUGGGAAGAGCCAUCACAUGACCUUUGACUUGGAAGUGACAUCACAAAAGUGAUGUGACAUCCUUGCUAGGCUUCACACACACACACACACACACACACACACACAGCCAGCCCAAAGUCCCCAGAUAUUUUCUGAGUCAGACCUGGCAACCCUAACAUUUUUAUUGAAAAUAUUAAAGACAUGGAAAGAAAGAAGGAACGGAACAGAGGGAAAGACAAGGAAAGAAGGGAGAGAAAUAAACUUAACUAAAACGUAUGGCCAUGGCAAUACUCCGAGACCUCUGGGAGCUGCACAAUGUCUAGAAGAGCCACAUGUGGCUCCCGAGCGGCAGUUUGGCCACCCCUGUUCUCGAGUCUCAUUUUCCACUAGAGGCUUUUGGGGUUCCAGUAUGUCUCUUGGCGUGAGUCUCAUCAACAGCACAAACCCACCCAGUUUUGGGAUUUACAGAUGUGUCCCAUUUAUGUUCUUUUUCUUUAUUGAUCCUUG